rnacentral:rRNA from 1 species
UACGGGGGGAGCAAGCGUUGUCCGGAUUUACUGGGCGUAAAGGGCGCGUAGGUGGCCAGCGCAAGUCAGUUGUGAAAUCUCCGGGCUUAACUCGGAACGGUCAACUGAUACUGCGCGGCUAGAGUGCAGAAGGGGCAACUGGAAUUCUCGGUGUAGCGGUGAAAUGCGUAGAUAUCGAGAGGAACACCUGCGGCGAAGGCGGGUUGCUGGGCUGACACUGACGCUGAUGCGCGAAAGCCAGGGGAGCGAACGGG